CGAGCCGGAGCGCUCGCGUCGGGACCCGAAAGGUGGUGAUCUAUCCGUGCGCGCGGCGAAGCCGGGGGAAACCCCGGUGGAGGCCCGUCGACGGUACUGACGUGCAAAUCGUUCGUCCGACGUGCGAAUAGGGGCGAAAGACCAAUCGAACCUCCUAGUAGCUGGUUUCCGCCGAAAUUUCCCUCAGGAUAGCGGCCAUCGCGGAAACGUUUUGACCGGUAGAGCGAACGACUAGAGGUACCGGGGCCGUAACGGCCUCGACCUAUUCUCGAACUCCGAACGGGCAAGGAGCCGGGGUCGCCCGAUCGGACCCCGGACGUGAAGUCGACGAUGGUCGGUGGGCUGGUUUUGGUAAGCAGAACGGGCGAUUCGGGAUGAACCGGAAGCGGGGAGAAAGGGCCCGAGAUUGCGUCGACGCGGAUCCCGAAAAAGGGCGUCGAUCCGUCGCGACAGC
rnacentral:rRNA from 1 species